GUUAAUAGCAUACUCAUUUGACGUUAGCUGCAGAAGAAGCACCGGCUAACUCCGUGCCAGCAGCCGCGGUAAUACGGAGGGUGCGAGCGUUAAUCGGAAUUACUGGGCGUAAAGCGCAUGCAGGUGGUUUGUUAAGUCAGAUGUGAAAGCCCGGGGCUCAACCUCGGAAUUGCAUUUGAAACUGGCAAACUAGAGUACUGUAGAGGGGGUAGAAUUUCAGGUGUAGCGGUGAAAUGCGUAGAGAUCUGAAGGAAUACCGGUGGCGAAGGCGGCCCCCUGGACAGAUACUGACACUCAGAUGCGAAAGCGUGGGGAGCAAACAGGAUUAGAUACCCUCGUAG
rnacentral:rRNA from 1 species